rnacentral:rRNA from 1 species
GAUCCUGGCUCAGGAUGAACGCUGGCGGCGUGCUUAACACAUGCAAGUCGAACGAAGCACUUUAUUACAAUUUCUUCGGAAUGACGAUUUGGUGACUGAGUGGCGGACGGGUGAGUAACGCGUGGGUAACCUGCCUUAUACAGGGGGAUAACAGUUAGAAAUGACUGCUAAUACCGCAUAAGCGCACAGGAUUGCAUGAUCUGGUGUGAAAAACUCCGGUGGUAUAAGAUGGACCCGCGU